rnacentral:rRNA from 1 species
GGAUGAACGCUAGCGGCAGGCUUAACACAUGCAAGUCGAGGGGCAGCACGGGUAGCAAUACCUGGUGGCGACCGGCGCAAGGGUGCGUAACGCGUGAGCAACAUGCCCUAUACAGGGGGAUAAUCCAGGGAAACUUGGUCUAAUAUCCCAUAGUAUUUAGAGGAGGCAUCUUCUAUAAAUUAAAGCUUCGGUGGUAUAGGAUUGGCUCGCGUGACAUUAGCUAGAUGGUGAGGUAACGGCUCACCAUGGCAAUGAUGUCUAGGGGUUCUGAGAGGAAGGCCCCCCACACUGGGACUGAGACACGGCCCAGACUCCUACGGGAGGCAGCAGUGAGGAAUAUUGGACAAUGGAUGGAAAUCUGAUCCAGCCAUGCCGCGUGCAGGAAGACAGCCCUAUGGGUUGUAAACUGCUUUUAUAUGGGAGCAAUAAGGUCUACGUGUAGACUGAUGAGAGUACCAUAUGAAUAAGCAUCGGCUAACUCCGUGCCAGCAGCCGCGGUAAUACGGAGGAUGCGAGCGUUAUCCGGAUUUAUUGGGUUUAAAGGGUGCGUAGGCGGCCGAGUAAGUCAGCGGUGAAAUUUUGCAGCUUAACUGUAGCAGUGCCGUUGAUACUGCAUGGCUAGGAUUUGGUUGCUGUGGGUGGAAUGUGUGGUGUAGCGGNUGAAAUGCUUAGAUAUAACACAGAACUCCGAUUGCGAAGGCAGCUUACUGGGAUGCAACUGACACUGAUGCACGAAAGCGUGGGUAUCAAACAGGAUUAGAUACCCUGGUAGUCCACGCAGUAAACGAUGAAUACUAGCUGUAUGCGAUACACCGUAUGUGGCACAGCGAAAGCGUUAAGUAUUCCACCUGGGGAGUACGUUCGCAAGAAUGAAACUCAAAGGAAUUGACGGGGGCCCGCACAAGCGGAGGAACAUGUGGUUUAAUUCGAUGAUACGCGAGGAACCUUACCCGGGCUUGAAAUGCAGAAGACCGACGAAGAAAUUCGUUUUCCAGCAAUGGCUUCUGUGUAGGUGCUGCAUGGUUGUCGUCAGCUCGUGCCGUGAGGUGUCGGCUUAAGUGCCAUAACGAGCGCAACCCUUGCCAUUAGUUGCUAACAGGUUAAGCUGAGAACUCUAAUGGGACUGCCAUCGUAAGAUGCGAGGAAGGUGGGGAUGACGUCAAAUCAGCACGGCCCUUACGUCCGGGGCGACACACGUGUUACAAUGGGUGGUACAGAGGGUUGCUACCUGGUGACAGGAUGCUAAUCUCUUAAAUCCACCCUCAGUUCGGAUCGAAGUCUGCAACUCGACUUCGUGAAGCUGGAUUCGCUAGUAAUCGCGCAUCAGCCAUGGCGCGGUGAAUACGUUCCCGGGCCU